GGCGGCACCGCCCCGGUCCCGGCCCCGAGCGGCCCCGAGCGCUGGCAGUCCCUGGCCGCCGCCGUGGCCGAGCUGCCGGUGCUGGACGCCCGCGGGCAGCGGGUGCCGUUCGGCGCGCUGUUCCGGGAGCGCCGCGCCGUGGUGGUGUUCGUGCGGCAUUUCCUGUGUUACAUCUGCAAGGAAUACGUGGAGGAUCUGGCCAGAAUCCCCAAGAGUUUCUUACAAGUGAGUUUCCGAGCGUGGGCGGCACAGCGCAGGCUUCUGGCGACAUUGCGAGCCCGGCGGGGGCGGACGCGGCUCCAGAGCGGCGCGGGCAACCCGGAUAGCCCCUCCUCGCACCUCUCUCCACCCUCGCCCCUCCAAAGGGAGAGACGUCAGAGAUCUAUUUCUGCCCUAACUCACUGGGUGCUGCCUGCUGGUGAACGUACUAACAAUUGUGGUGUUGCCUGGUAACCUGGUGCCUGUUCUCAAAUGUCGACUGAUAAUGCCCUAAAUCAAAUGCUGGAAAUGGUUAUUAUUUCCCUUUAUUUUUGUUCUACUCCAAAGAGCUGCUUGGUAUGGGAAAAUACUGAUAAAUCGUAAAGGUGCAAAUUUUUAUGUUAUUAGACUGCAAGUUCCAUGUCUCUAAGACAACCACAGACGUGUCUGUCUUCAGGGACAGAUAGAUUUAUGCCCAAGUGGGCUUUUUGAGUGAAGGCAUUGGUCAGCCUUUAUAAAACACACGUUUUUUCAGCAGACUUUAUCAAUUAGGAUGUGAAGAAAACAUUGUUAAUUAAAUAACUAUACUACAGAGUUACUUAAAAAACAUAUGUCUUUGGGAAGAAUAUAAGGAAGUAUUGACUAUAUCAUUUGGAAAGCAAUGUUUUGACUCUUCCCCUGCAUAUCCUUUUUUUCUCUUUUUUAAAAUUGACAUAUAAUUGUAUAUGUUUAUGACAUACAGUGUGAUAUUUUGAUAUGCAUUUACAUUGUGGAAUGAUUAAAUUGAGAUAACUAAUAUAUCCAUCAUGUCAGAUAGUUAUUUUGUGGUGAGAACACGUAAAAACUAGUCUUUUAGCAAUUUUAAGUAUACAAUAUAUUAUUAACUAUAGUUGUCAUGCUGCGCAGUAGAUCUCUAAAAGUUCUUCCUCUUUAACUGAAAUUCUGUACCCUUUGAACAUCUCCCUAUUUCUCAUUCCUGAAUAAUGAGUCUUCUGGUAACCAUCAUCCUCCUUUCUUCGAUUCCAUAUCUAAGUGAGACCGUGCCGUGUUUUCCUUCCUGUGUCUGGCUUAUUUCACUUAGAUGAUGUCUUCUAGGUGCAUCCAGUGUUGUCACAAAUAACAGAAAAAUGUCUUUUCUUUUUUAUGACCAAAUAAUAUUACAUUGUAUUAUAUUGUGCUACCCCAUUUUCUUUGUAUUUAUCCGUUGUUGAACACUGAGGUUGCUUCUAUAUCUUGGCUUUUAUGAAUAAUGCUGUAAUAAAACAUGGGA